GCCGGGGUGCCCGAGCGGACCAAGGGGGUAGGCUCGAGACCUUUCCAGCGAAACGGUGAGCGACCUACUGCCCCUAUGGGGCACGCGGGUUCGAAUCCCGUCCCCGGCG
rnacentral:tRNA from 1 species